rnacentral:rRNA from 1 species
GCCCAACACCUAGCCCCACAGACAAAUAAACUAACUCUCUAUUAAUUUUAUAAAAAAGAUCGAACACAAAAAUAACAAAACAUUUUUCCCCCUUAGUACGGGCGACAGAAAAGGGAACGCACGGCGCAACAGACAAAGUACCGCAAGGGAAAGUUGAAAAAGAAAUGAAAUAACCCCUUUAAGCCCCAAAAAGCAGAGCUAAACCCUCGUACCUUUUGCAUCAUGAUUAAGCAAGUAAAUUAAAGCAAAGAGCCCUUUAGUUUUAUUUCCCGAAACUAAACGAGCUACUCCGAGACAGCCUAUUAUAGGGCCAACCCGUCUCUGUGGCAAAAGAGUGGGAAGAGCUCCGAGUAGAGGUGAUAAACCUACCGAGUUUAGUUAUAGCUGGUUGCCUAGGAAAUGGAUAGAAGUUCAGCCCUUUAGCUUCCCCUCCCAAUUCACCCCCUAUAUUGGUCACAGGAAACUAAAGGAGUUAGUUAAAGAAGGUUCAGCUUCUUUAAAAAAGAUACAACUUUUUUAGGAGAUUAAAGAUCAUAAAAGCACAAAGGAAACUUGUUCUAGUGGGCCUAAAAGCAGCCACCUAAGUAGAAAGCGUUAAAGCUCAGACAACCUCCUCUAACCUAUUAUCCCGACAAAAAAUCUUACACCCCUAACUAGUACUAGGCCACUUCAUGCCUCCAUGAAAGAGAUUAUGCUUAUAUGAGUAAUAAGAGGAAAUGACCCUCUCCCUGCACACGUGUAAUUCGGAACGGACUCACCACCGACAAUUAAUGUAUCUACAAAGAAGCAACUGUGGCCUAAACCUAUAAACAAGAAAACCCCACACCUAUAAACCAUUAACCCCACACAGGAGUGCUUACCAGGAAAGACCAAAAGAGAAGGAAGGAACUCGGCAAACCCCAGCCCCGCCUGUUUACCAAAAACAUCGCCUCUUGCAAAAUCAAAAAAUAAGAGGUCCCGCCUGCCCUGUGACCUAAGGUUUAACGGCCGCGGUAUUUUGACCGUGCGAAGGUAGCGCAAUCACUUGUCCUUUAAAUGAGGACCUGUAUGAAUGGCACAACGAAGGCUUAACUGUCUCCCCCCUCCAGUCAAUGAAAUUGAUCUCCUCGUGCAGAAGCGAGGAUACCCCCAUAAGACGAGAAGACCCUAUGGAGCUUUAGACAUCAAACAGCCCACGUAAAACAAUCACCAUAAAGAGAACUAACACAGUGAACCCUCUGUUGAAAUGUCUUUGGUUGGGGCGACCGUGGGAAAAACAAAACACCCAUGUGGACCGAGGACACCUCCUUAAAACCAAGAGCAACAGCUCUAAGUACCAGAACUUCUGACCCAAAUGAUCCGGCCAAAGCCGAUCAACGAACCGAGUUACCCUAGGGAUAACAGCGCAAUCCCCUCCCAGAGCCCCUAUCGACGAGAGGGUUUACGACCUCGAUGUUGGAUCAGGACAUCCUAAUGGUGCAGCCGCUAUUAAGGGUUCGUUUGUUCAACGAUUAAAGUCCUACGUGAUCUGAGUUCAGACCGGAGCAAUCCAGGUCAAGUUUCUAUCUAUGACCUUGAUCUUCCCCAGUACGAAAGGACCGAGAAGAAGGGGCCCCUGCUUAUAGCAAGCCCCACCCCCACCUGAAGAAACCAACUAAAACAAGCAAGAGGGCACGCCCUUUUGGCUUGUCAAAGAGAAUGACAU